CUGCAUGGCUGUCGUCAGCUCGUGUCGUGAGAUGUUGGGUUAAGUCCCGCAACGAGCGCAACCCUUGUCAUUAGUUGCUACGCAAGAGCACUCUAAUGAGACUGCCGGUGACAAACCGGAGGAAGGUGGGGAUGACGUCAAGUCCUCAUGGCCCUUAUGGGUAGGGCUUCACACGUCAUACAAUGGUCGGGACAGAGGGUCGCCAACCCGCGAGGGGGAGCCAAUCUCAGAAACCCGAUCGUAGUCCGGAUCGCAGUCUGCAACUCGACUGCGUGAAGUCGGAAUCGCUAGUAAUCGCGGAUCAGAAUGUCGCGGUGAAUACGUUCCCGGGUCUUGUACACACCGCCCGUCACACCAUGGGAGUGGGUUUCACCAGAAGUAGGUAGCCUAACCGCAAGGAGGGCGCUUACCACGGUGGGAUUCAUGACUGGGGUGAAGUCGUAA
rnacentral:rRNA from 1 species